UCCUAUGUGGAUAGCUCAGUUAGUUAGAAUGCGGUGCUGAUGACACAAAGGUUGCAGGUUCGAUCCCUGUAUGGGAG